rnacentral:lncRNA from 1 species
UAGGGAAACAAAGGUGUGAAGUCCUUGCCUAGUUUCCGUCUCGUUAAGUGGUUUAACACUUCAACACUCAAUGAUUCAAAAAUCAUCAUAAGUCCAUGUUGAUGGACUAUUUUUGUCAACCAACCAUUAUGUUCUAAACAUAAUUACAAACUUUCAAGAGUUGUACAAGGCAACUCUCAUUUCUUCAUACAACAAUUUGUAAGUGAAGAAUCAUGGCACAUUAAGUGUCCAAGCCUUUGUGCUUUCCUCUCAAGUUCCUUAUUCAUGUAACAAAGAAACAAGCACUAAGUGUUUGCAUUGACUAAGGGUUGUUCAAAGCAACUCUUAUUU